UACAGAGGUCUCAAGCGUUGUUCGGAUUCAUUGGGCGUAAAGGGUGCGUAGGUGGCGCCGUAAGUCAGGUGUGAAAUUUCGGAGCUUAACUCCGAAACUGCAUUUGAUACUGCGGUGCUUGAGGACUGGAGAGGAGACUGGAAUUCACGGUGUAGCAGUGAAAUGCGUAGAUAUCGUGAGGAAGACCAGUGGCGAAGGCGGGUCUCUGGAACGCAACUGACGCUGAGACGCGAAAGCGUGGGGAGCAAACAGG
rnacentral:rRNA from 1 species